rnacentral:rRNA from 1 species
UACGUAGGGUGCAAGCGUUGUCCGGAAUUAUCGUGGCGUAAAGGAGUUCGUAGGCGGUUUGUCGCGUCGUUUGUGAAAACCAGCAGCUCAAACUGGCUGGCUUGGCAGGCGAUGACGGGCAGACUUGAGUACUGCAGGGGAGGACUGGAAUUCCGUGGUGUAGCGGUGGAAAUGCGCAGAUAUCAGGAGGAACACCGGUGGCGAAGGCGGGUCUCUGGGCAGUAACUGACGCUGAGGAACGAAAGCGUGGGUAGCGAACAGG